rnacentral:rRNA from 1 species
GAUGAACGCUGGCGGCGUGCUUAACACAUGCAAGUCGAACGAAGCGAUUCUUUUGGAAGUUCUCCAGCUUGCUGGAGGAUGGACAUGUGAAUUGACUGAGUGGCGGACGGGUGAGUAACGCGUGGGUAACCUGCCUCACACUGGGGGAUAACAGUUAGAAAUGACUGCUAAUACCGCAUAAGACCACAGAGUCGCAUGGCUCUGAGGUAAAAACUCCGGUGGUGUGAGAUGGACCCGCGUCUGAUUAGCUAGUUGGUGAGGUAACGGCUCACCAAGGCGACGAUCAGUAGCCGGCCUGAGAGGGCGACCGGCCACAUUGGGACUGAGACACGGCCCAAACUCCUACGGGAGGCAGCAGUGGGGAAUAUUGCACAAUGGGGGAAACCCUGAUGCAGCGACGCCGCGUGAUUGAAGAAGUAUUUCGGUAUGUAAAGAUCUAUCAGCAGGGAAGAAAAUGACGGUACCUGACUAAGAAGCCCCGGCUAACUACGUGCCAGCCGCCGCAGUA